GCGUCCGUAGCUCAAUGGAUAGAGCGUCAGGUUGCGGACCUGAAGGCUGUGAGUUCGACUCUCGCCGGGCGCA
rnacentral:tRNA from 1 species